GACGAACGCUGGCGGCGUGCUUAACACAUGCAAGUCGAACGGAAAGGCCUCUUUCGGGGGGUACUCGAGUGGCGAACGGGUGAGUAACACGUGAGUAACCUGCCCUUGACUUUGGGAUAACUUCAGGAAACUGGGGCUAAUACCGGAUAGGAGCUCCUGCUGCAUGGUGGGGGUUGGAAAGUUUCGGCGGUUGGGGAUGGACUCGCGGCUUAUCAGCUUGUUGGUGGGGUAGUGGCUUACCAAGGCUUUGACGGGUAGCCGGCCUGAGAGGGUGACCGGCCACAUUGGGACUGAGAUACGGCCCAGACUCCUACGGGAGGCAGCAGUGGGGAAUAUUGCACAAUGGGUGGAAGCCUGAUGCAGCAACGCCGUGUGCGGGAUGACGGACUUCGGGUUGUAAACCGCUUUCGCUCAUGACGAAGCUUUGUAUGACGGUAGUGGGUAAAGAAGCACCGGCUAACUACGUG
rnacentral:rRNA from 1 species